AUUGAACGCUGGCGGCAGGCCUAACACAUGCAAGUCGAGCGGAGCGGCGGACGGGUGAGUAAUGCCUAGGACUCUGCCUGGUCGUGGGGGAUAACGUCCGGACACGGGAGCUCAUACCGCAUACUAUCAGAUGAGCCUAGGUCGGAUUAGCUAGUUGGUGUGGUAGAGGCCUACCAAGGCGACGAUCCGUAACUGGUCUGAGAGUAUGAUCAGGCACAAUGGAACUGAGACACGGGCAAGACGCAUACGUGAGGGAGCAGUGGGGAAUAGUGGACAAUGGGCGAAAGCCUGAUCCAGCCAUGCCGCGUGUAUGAAGAAGGGCAUAGGAUUGUAAAGCACUUUAAGUUGGGAGGCGUUACCAGCAGAAUAAGCACCGGCUAACUACGUGCCAGCAGCCGCGGUAAUUC
rnacentral:rRNA from 1 species